ACGGAAGGCAGCAGUGGGGAAUAUUGCACAAUGGAGGAAACUCUGAUGCAGCAACGCCGCGUGAAGGAUGAAGGUCUUCGGAUCGUAAACUUCUGUCCUUAGGGAGAUAAUGACGGUACCUUUGGAGGAAGCCCCGGCUAACUACGUGCCAGCAGCCGCGGUAAUACGUAGGGGGCAAGCGUUAUCCGGAAUUAUUGGGCGUAAAGAGUGCGUAGGUGGUUACCUAAGCAGGGGGUGAAAGGCAUUGGCUUAACCAAUGUUAGCCCCCUGAACUGGGCUACUUGAGUGCAGGAGAGGAAAGCGGAAUUCCUAGUGUAGCGGUGAAAUGCGUAGAUAUUAGGAGGAACACCAGUGGCGAAGGCGGCUUUCUGGACUGUUACUGACACUGAGGCUCGAAAGCGUGGGUAGCAAACAGGAUUAGAUACCCUGGUA
rnacentral:rRNA from 1 species